rnacentral:rRNA from 1 species
GAUGAACGCUGGCGGCGUGCUUAACACAUGCAAGUCGAACGGAAAGGCUCCUGCUUGCAGGGGCACUCGAGUGGCGAACGGGUGAGUAACACGUGGGUGAUCUGCCCUGCACUUCGGGAUAAGCCUGGGAAACUGGGUCUAAUACCGGAUAGGACGAUGGUUUGGAUGCCAUCGUGGAAAGUUUUUUCGGUGUGGGAUGAGCUCGCGGCCUAUCAGCUUGUUGGUGGGGUAAUGGCCUACCAAGGCGUCGACGGGUAGCCGGCCUGAGAGGGUGUACGGCCACAUUGGGACUGAGAUACGGCCCAGACUCCUACGGGAGGCAGCAGGGGGGAAUAUUGCACAAUGGGCGCAAGCCUGAUGCAGCGACGCUGCGUGGGGGAUGACGGCCUUCGGGUUGUAAACUCCUUUCGCUAGGGACGAAGCGCAAGUGACGGUACCUGGAGAAGAAGCACCGGCUAACUACGUG